UGAGGAAUAUUGGCCAAUGGGCGCAAGCCUGAACCAGCCAAGUCACGUGAGGGAAGACGGUCCUAUGGAUUGUAAACCUCUUUUGUCAGGGAGCAAGCGCGGGACGCGUCCCGUCGUUGAGAGUACCUGAAGAAAAGCAUCGGCUAACUCCGUGCCAGCAGCCGCGGUAAUACGGAAGAUGCGAGCGUUAUCCGGAUUUAUUGGGUUUAAAGGGAGCGUAGGCGGGCUGUUAAGUCAGCGGUCAAAUGUCAGGGCCCAACCUUGGCAUGCCGUUGAUACUGGCGGCCUUGAGUUCACACAAGGAAGGUGGAAUUCGUCGUGUAGCGGUGAAAUGCUUAGAUAUGACGAAGAACUCCGAUUGCGAAGGCAGCCUUCUGGGGUGUUACUGACGCUGAGGCUCGAAAGUGCGGGGAAUCAAACAGGGAUUAGAUACCCUGGGUAGU
rnacentral:rRNA from 1 species